rnacentral:rRNA from 1 species
GAUGAACGCUGGCGGCGUGCCUAAUACAUGCAAGUCGAGCGAACAGACGAGGCGCUUGCUCCUUUGACGUUAGCGGCGGACGGGUGAGUAACACGUGGAUAACCUACCUAUAAGACUGGGAUAACUUCGGGAAACCGGAGCUAAUACCGGAUAACAUGUUGAACCGCAUGGUUCAACAGUGAAAGACGGUCUUGCUGUCACUUAUAGAUGGAUCCGCGCCGCAUUAGCUAGUUGGUAAGGUAACGGCUUACCAAGGCAACGAUGCGUAGCCGACCUGAGAGGGGGGUAGGCCACACUGGAACGGAGACACGGUCCAGACUCCUAAGGGAGGCAGCAGUAGGGAAUCUGCCGCAAUGGGCGAAAGCCUGACGGAGCAACGCCGCGUGAGUGAAGAAGGUCUUCGGAUCGUAAAACUCUGUUAUUAGGGAAGAACAAAUGUGUAAGUAACUAUGCACGUCUUGACGGUACCUAAUCAGAAAGCCACGGCUAACUACGUG